rnacentral:snRNA from 1 species
UCACAAAACAAAGAUCAACAAU